ACAUAGGUCCCCAGAGAAUUUCAAUAUGUCUGAUGUCAAGAACGGAAAGUGAGACAGCCAGGUGGGAGGGGGUCCCUGGAGAAUCUCCAACCAGCCUGCGCACUGGGAAUGCGCACUGGAGUGAAAAUACAGAAGUUGGUGCCCUUUGCAGCAGCCAGGAGUCCGACUCCUCCUCUUCCUGUGUGGAACCUGGAAUUCAAACGGCUGGGGCCUCACUCACGGCAUAUGGAACUAACCACGCCCCUAACUAAGAAGGCACACCUUAGUUGCAGUUAGCACACAAUUAAAGCAACUCUCCAAGUUUUACCUUAAAGUUCAAAAUUGCUAGGAGUUGAAACUACUAGAAAUAUAUUUACAUGCAAGAGUCAAAGAAACUUUGAACUAUUUAUGGCCUUUAAUAAUUAAGUAAGGUAUACUCCUGUGAUCAAGACUUGGAGCAUAUUUGUUUCUCUCUGCCUGGUUCCUCUAGAAAUUGGAAACUAUCAGAACAGAGACCAACUCCGUUUCCCGAUCCCUUUGCAAUCUGCAUUGAACCAUGAGUCAAGUUCUUGAUAAAGGAGUGAAAAUGGAUGACAUUUAAGGCACAUCUGAAGAUGGGGAAACCACAGCACAGAAUAAGGCUGGGCCCUUGAAUCAAUAAAUGAAGGAGAACUACUCAAGAGAACAAAACCACCAGCAAUAUCCACCUGUAUUUGUCUUUUCAUAAUGUGUGACACAUGUGCUCAUGGAUUAUUGUCCGAAGCAAGACAUGUGACCAAGCCUAACAUCAACUGGGUGAAGAGCUAUAUGUUCCUUUCUCAAGAGGCACUACAAGUGACAUGCCACUGGGCAGCACUGUUCACAUUAUGUAAGUGAUAAAAUUGACCUAAAUAUCCAUCAAUGGACAAAUAGAUCAAGAAAACAUGAUAAACAUACACAGUGGAAUACUAUACAGCUACAAAAAGAAUGACCUUCUGUCAUUUGUGACAACGUGGAUAAACCUGCAGGACAUUCUGUUAAGUGAAAUCAACCAGGUACAGAAAAACAAAUAUUGCAUGAGCUCACUCAUAUGUGGAAUCUAAAGUAAUUUUACUCAUUGACCAACCUCUUUCCAUCCCCCAUCCCCUUUUCUCUCCUCAACCUCUGGUAACUGCUGUUCUACUCUUUAUUUCUAUGAGACCACAGUUACAGUUAGAUAGGAAGAAUAAAUUCUGGUGUUCUAUUACAUAGCAGAGUGACUACAGCUAAAAAUAGUGUAUUAUAUAUUUCAAUAUAGCUAGAGAAGAAGAUCUUGAAUGUUAUCACCACAAAGAAAUGAUAAUGCUGUGGUAAUGGGUAUGUUAAUUAUCCUGAUAUGAUCAUUAAACAAUGCAUAUAUCUAUUGAAACAUCACAGUA
rnacentral:lncRNA from 1 species